GAUGAACGCUAGCGGCAGGCUUAAUACAUGCAAGUCGUGGGGCAGCAGGUCUGUAGCAAUACAGAUGCUGGCGACCGGCAAACGGGUGCGUAACACGUACGCAACCUUCCCGUUACUGGGGAAUAGCACAGGGAAACUUGGAUUCAUACCCCAUAUUAUAUUGGUUAGGCAUAUGACUGAUAUUAAGGAUGCCGCGGUAACGGAUGGGCGUGCGGUUGAUUAGGUAGUUGGCGGGGUAACGAGCCACCAAGCCUACGAUCAAUAGCUGAUGUUAAAGCAUGAUCAGCCACACGGGCACUGAGACACGGGCCCGACUCCUACGGGAGGCAGCAGUAAGGAAUAUUGGGCAAUGGACGAAAGUCUGACCCAGCCAUGCCGCGUGAAGGAUGAAGGUCCUCUGGAUUGUAAACUUCUUUUAUCUGGGGCGAAAAUCGGUUAUUCUUAGCCGCUUGACAGUACCAGAUGAAUAAGCACCGGCUAACUCCGUGCCAGCCGCCGCUGUAACAC
rnacentral:rRNA from 1 species